rnacentral:rRNA from 1 species
UGUUUCGGCAAGGGGGUCAUCCCGACUUACCAACCCGAUGCAAACUGCGAAUACCGGAGAAUGUUAUCACGGGAGACACACGGCGGGUGCUAACGUCCGUCGUGAAGAGGGAAACAACCCAGACCGCCAGCUAAGGUCCCAAAGUCAUGGUUAAGUGGGAAACGAUGUGGGAAGGCCCAGACAGCCAGGAUGUUGGCUUAGAAGCAGCCAUCAUUUAAAGAAAGCGUAAUAGCUCACUGGUCGAGUCGGCCUGCGCGGAAGAUGUAACGGGGCUAAACCAUGCACCGAAGCUGCGGCAGCGACGCUUAUGCGUUGUUGGGUAGGGGAGCGUUCUGUAAGCCUGUGAAGGUGUGCUGUGAGGCAUGCUGGAGGUAUCAGAAGUGCGAAUGCUGACAUAAGUAACGAUAAAGCGGGUGAAAAGCCCGCUCGCCGGAAGACCAAGGGUUCCUGUCCAACGUUAAUCGGGGCAGGGUGAGUCGACCCCUAAGGCGAGGCCGAAAGGCGUAGUCGAUGGGAAACAGGUUAAUAUUCCUGUACUUGGUGUUACUGCGAAGGGGGGACGGAGAAGGCUAUGUUGGCCGGGCGACGGUUGUCCCGGUUUAAGCGUGUAGGCUGGUUUUCCAGGCAAAUCCGGAAAAUCAAGGCUGAGGCGUGAUGACGAGGCACUACGGUGCUGAAGCAACAAAUGCCCUGCUUCCAGGAAAAGCCUCUAAGCAUCAGGUAACAUCAAAUCGUACCCCAAACCGACACAGGUGGUCAGGUAGAGAAUACCAAGGCGCUUGAGAGAACUCGGGUGAAGGAACUAGGCAAAAUGGUGCCGUAACUUCGGGAGAAGGCACGCUGAUAUGUAGGUGAAGUCCCUCGCGGAUGGAGCUGAAAUCAGUCGAAGAUACCAGCUGGCUGCAACUGUUUAUUAAAAACACAGCACUGUGCAAACACGAAAGUGGACGUAUACGGUGUGACGCCUGCCCGGUGCCGGAAGGUUAAUUGAUGGGGUCAGCGCAAGCGAAGCUCUUGAUCGAAGCCCCGGUAAACGGCGGCCGUAACUAUAACGGUCCUAAGGUAGCGAAAUUCCUUGUCGGGUAAGUUCCGACCUGCACGAAUGGCGUAAUGAUGGCCAGGCUGUCUCCACCCGAGACUCAGUGAAAUUGAACUCGCUGUGAAGAUGCAGUGUACCCGCGGCAAGACGGAAAGACCCCGUGAACCUUUACUAUAGCUUGACACUGAACAUUGAGCCUUGAUGUGUAGGAUAGGUGGGAGGCUUAGAAGUGUGGACGCCAGUCUGCAUGGAGCCGACCUUGAAAUACCACCCUUUAAUGUUUGAUGUUCUAACGUUGACCCGUAAUCCGGGUUGCGGACAGUGUCUGGUGGGUAGUUUGACUGGGGCGGUCUCCUCCUAAAGAGUAACGGAGGAGCACGAAGGUUGGCUAAUCCUGGUCGGACAUCAGGAGGUUAGUGCAAUGGCAUAAGCCAGCUUGACUGCGAGCGUGACGGCGCGAGCAGGUGCGAAAGCAGGUCAUAGUGAUCCGGUGGUUCUGAAUGGAAGGGCCAUCGCUCAACGGAUAAAAGGUACUCCGGGGAUAACAGGCUGAUACCGCCCAAGAGUUCAUAUCGACGGCGGUGUUUGGCACCUCGAUGUCGGCUCAUCACAUCCUGGGGCUGAAGUAGGUCCCAAGGGUAUGGCUGUUCGCCAUUUAAAGUGGUACGCGAGCUGGGUUUAGAACGUCGUGAGACAGUUCGGUCCCUAUCUGCCGUGGGCGCUGGAGAACUGAGGGGGGCUGCUCCUAGUACGAGAGGACCGGAGUGGACGCAUCACUGGUGUUCGGGUUGUCAUGCCAAUGGCACUGCCCGGUAGCUAAAUGCGGAAGAGAUAAGUGCUGAAAGCAUCUAAGCACGAAACUUGCCCCGAGAUGAGUUCUCCCUGACUCCUUGAG